rnacentral:rRNA from 1 species
UACAGAGGGUGCAAGCGUUGUUCGGAAUUACUGGGCGUAAAGGGCUCGUAGGCGGCCAACUAAGUCAGACGUGAAAUCCCUCGGCUUAACCGGGGAACUGCGUCUGAUACUGGAUGGCUUGAGUUUGGGAGAGGGAUGCGGAAUUCCAGGUGUAGCGGUGAAAUGCGUAGAUAUCUGGAGGAACACCGGUGGCGAAGGCGGCAUCCUGGACCAACACUGACGCUGAGUGAGCGAAAGCGUGGGGAGCGAACAGG